rnacentral:rRNA from 1 species
GACGAACGCUGGCGGCGUGCCUAAUACAUGCAAGUCGAACGCAGUGGGGACGGGUGAGUAACACGUGGGUAACCUCCCAUCAGAGGGGAUAACACUUGGAAACAGGUGCUAAACCGAUACUGAUGGAUGGACCCGCGGUGCAUUAGCUAGUUGGUGGGGUAACGGCUCACCAAGGCCACGAUGCAUAGCUGGCCUGAGAGGAUGAUCAGCCACACUGGAACUGAGACACGGCCCAGACUCCUACGGGAGGCAGCAGUGGGGAAUCUUCGGCAAUGGGCGCAAGUCUGACCGAGCCAUGCCGCGUGAGUGAAGAAGGUUUUCGGGUCGUAAAGCUCUUUUGUUAGGGAAGCGGUAUCUAACCAAAAAGCCACGGCUAACUACGUGCCAGCCGCCGCGGUAAUAC